rnacentral:rRNA from 1 species
CAGUCGCCGCGGGAAUACGAGGGGGGCAAGCGUUGUUCGGAAUUAUUGGGCGUAAAGGGCGCGUAGGCGGCGAUCAAAGUCAGGCGUGAAAUUCCUGGGCUCAACCUGGGGGCUGCGUUUGAUACUUGAUUGCUAGAGUGGGGAAGAGGGUCGUGGAAUUCCCAGUGUAGAGGUGAAAUUCGUAGAUAUUCGGAAGAACACCAGUGGCGAAGGCGGCUUACUGGCUCAUUCUAGACGCUGAGGUGCGAAAGCGUGGGGAGCAAACAGGAUUAGAUACCCGCGUAGUCCCUGUCUCUUAUAC